rnacentral:rRNA from 1 species
UACGAAGGGGGCUAGCGUUGCUCGGAAUCACUGGGCGUAAAGCGCACGUAGGCGGAUUGCUAAGUCAGGGGUGAAAUCCUGGAGCUCAACUCCAGAACUGCCCUUGAUACUGGCGGUCUCGAGUCCCGGAGAGGUGAGUGGAACUGCGAGUGUAGAGGUGAAAUUCGUAGAUAUUCGCAAGAACACCAGUGGCGAAGGCGGCUCACUGGCCCGGUACUGACGCUGAGGUGCGAAAGCGUGGGGAGCAACCAGG